AUUGAACGCUGGCGGCAGGCCUAACACAUGCAAGUCGAGCGAGCGGCGGACGGGUGAGUAAUGUAUGGGGACUGCCCGAUAGAGGGGGAUAACUACUGGAAACGGUAGCUAAUACCGCAUACUAUCGGAUAACCCAUAUGGGAUUAGCUAGUAGGUGAGGUAAUGGCUCACCUAGGCGACGAUCCCUAGCUGGUCUGAGAGUAUGAUCAGCCAAACUGGGACUGAGAACAGGCCCAGACUCCUACGGAGGCAGCAGUGGGGAAUAUUGCACAAGGGGGGGAAGCCUGAUGCAGCCAUGCCGCGGGGAUGAAGAAGGCCCUAGGGUUGGAAAGUACUUUCAGUCGGGAGGCGUUACCGACAGAAGAAGCACCGGCUAACUCCGUGCCAGCAGCCGCGGUAAUAC
rnacentral:rRNA from 1 species